CCAUUGCCCCCCUAACCCCCCACCCCAUAUCUCAGCCCCAUAGAUUGGUCAUCUCGUGCCCCGAAGACUCGGAUCUAUGGGGCCCAGCUUUGGGGUCCCAUAAUGAUUAAGGGGGGGGGGGUUAUGGGGUCCAUUGGGGUCCCAUUAUGGGUAUGGGGUCCCAUUGGGGUCCCAUUAUGGGUUUGGGGUCCCAUUGGGGUCCCAUAAUGAUUAAGGGGGGGUUUAUGGGGUCCAUUGGGGUCCAUUGGGGUCCCAUUGCCCCCCUAACCCCCCACCCCAUAUCUCAGCCCCAUAGAUUGGUCAUCUCGUGCCCCGAAGACUUGGAUCUAUGGGGCCCAGCAUUGGGGUCCCAUAAUGAUAAAGGGGGGGGCUUAUGGGGUCCAUUGGGGUCCCACUGGGGUCCCAUUGCCCCCCUAACCCCCCCACCCCAUAUCUCAGCCCCAUAGAUUGGUCAUCUCGUGCCCCGAAGACUCGGAUCUAUGGGGCCCAGCUUUGGGGUCCCAUAAUGAUAAAGGGGGGGGGGUUAUGGGGUCCCAUUGGGGUCCCAUUAUGGGUAUGGGGUCCAUUGGGGUCCCAUUAUGGGUAUGGGGUCCAUUGGGUUCCCAUUAUGGGUGUGGGGUCCCAUUAUGGGUGUGGGGUCCCAUUGGGGUCCCAUUAUGGGUAUGGGGUCCCAUUGGGGUCCCAUUAUAGGUAUGGGGUCCCAUUGGGGUCCCAUUAUGGGUAUGGGGUCCCAUUAUGGGUAUGGGGUCCCAUUGGGGUCCCAUUAUAGGUAUGGGGCCCCAUUAUGGGUAUGGGGUCCCAUUGGGGUCCCAUUAUAGGUAUGGGGCCCCAUUAUGGGUAUGGGGUCCAUUGGGGUCCCAUUAUGGGUAUGGGGUCCCAUUAUGGGUAUGGGGUCCCAUUAGGGUCCCAUUAUAGGUAUGGGGUCCCAUUAUGGUUAUGGGGUCCCAUUGGGGUCCCAUUAUAGGUAUGGGGUCCCAUU
rnacentral:lncRNA from 1 species